rnacentral:Y_RNA from 1 species
GGCAAGUCCAAGUGUAGUGGACUUAUUAGUCUACAACAGAUUGAUCACAGAUUUCUUUGUUCCUUUUCCACUCCCACUGUUUCAGUUGACUAGCUUUAA